AAGUCGUAACAAGGUUUCCGUAGGUGAACCUGCGGAAGGAUCAUUAAUGAGAUCGUGCCCUUCGGGGUAGACCUCCCACCCUCUGUAUACAAUACCUUUGUUGCUUUGGCGGCCCCAUCGCAAGAUGACCGGCUCUGUCCGGUUAGUGGCCGCCAGAGGAAUCUAAACUCACAUCAUCACUGUCGUCUGAGUACUAUACAAUAGUUAAAACUUUCAACAACGGAUCUCUUGGUUCUG
rnacentral:misc_RNA from 1 species